rnacentral:rRNA from 1 species
GUCUAUGGCCAUACCACCCUGAACAUACCUGAUCUCGUCAGCUAAGCAGGGUUGGGCCUGGUUAGUACUUGGAUGGCAAAGAAAAGAAAAAAAUUGUGUGACCUUGUGCAAAUCCUGAACCUCAGUUUCCUUGACU